UUUGUGAAGAGCGCUUGGAACCAUGUAGCUCCCAGCCAUGUCAGAACAAAGCUGUAUGUCACAAUCGUCCUUCUGGCUACGUUUGCAACUGUCCUGCUGGAUUCACAGGCUACGACUGUGAAACUGAUAUCAACGAAUGCUUCUCAGAUCCGUGUCAAAAUGGAGCCACAUGCACAGAUUUGCCAAAUGAUGUGGCAUGUAGUUGCUUGCCAAUGUUUAUAGGCAAGUUCUGUGAAAAGUUGGUGACAUUCUGUGAGCCACCCCCCUGCCUGAAUAAUGGUUCUUGCAUAGCUGAAGUGGAAAGCUAUCAUUGCAGCUGCAUGCCAGGAUAUACUGGAAGGAACUGUGAGGAAGUAAUUGAAUACUGCAGUCUGCUCAGCAUCCUCUGUCUGAAUGAAGGAUUGUGUCUCAAUAUAAUUGGAGGAUUCAGUGUAAGUAAUCAAA